GUCAGGAUGGCCGAGCGGUCUAAGGCGCCAGACUCAAGCGCAAGCUUACUGGAUUUAAUCUGGCAAAUGGAAUUCUGGUCUUCGAUAGAAGGCGUGGGUUCAAAUCCCACUUCUGACA
rnacentral:tRNA from 1 species